rnacentral:piRNA from 1 species
UCCAGCGGCUUAGCUGUGUUUUGGUUUGGGU